rnacentral:rRNA from 1 species
AUGAUCAAUAGCUCUUCCUCAUCAUUAAUGCUAACAUCACAUGCAAACGGUGCAUUAAACCAUUCCUCAAAAUUCCCAGAUGAAUUAAAAAUAUUUGGCAGAAUAAAGUUGAGCAAUGACCACAGCUCCUGUAGGCUAUUUUGGAUUGGAGUGCCAGUCAAAAGUAGUCUGCGGCGGAUCAAAUAUCUACAAGAAAUGUGCGAGCAAGAGCACAUUCAUGAUUUUUCAAGCGAUGUCCUUCAUCAACUAUCAAAUAGUGCCAGUGAACCUUCUUCAGGAACUUCUUAUCUUUCAGUAUCAAAUCAUAGUGUGUGA